AGGGCAAAUAAUGUCUGAGCAACGUCAGUGCAUCCUGUACACUGCUUAGGAGACAGUGAAAAAAUCAAGGAUGGUGAAUGUUAUAUGCCUAGAUUUUGGCAUGACCACAUUCACUGCCUGUUGUAUAGUCCCCUCACAAUCAAAUAGGUGAGUUAUGCAUAAUAACGUAUGUGGAAAAGUAAAUAAUCUGCUGGGCUCUAACUGUUGUGACUGCUACUCAGAGUACAGCUGGGUACGGGAAUCUAUAAAGGGGUUCCUGAGGGAUGAGCGCUGGACCAGUAGUUUUUGAUUUUCCAUUAAUGCUCUAUGUGACUGGAUGAAGUGCCUUAUAAGCAUAUAAACACAAAUAUAUAUAUAUAUAUGGUAUAUAGGAGUAUUCACUUGCGGAACAGAGGUCAAAAAGCAGAAGUCAAAGCCUGUUGCUGCACAUUCCCAGCCGCCCGUCCCGGUGACGCUGCCGGCCUUUCUGGGGCUCCUCGAGCAGCAACAUCAGCACCACGGGCAGCAGCAGACUGCGGAACCCGGAGUACGCGACCAGUUCCAGCAGCUCCUUGGGCACAGACGGGCGACAAAGGCUCAGAAGCCUCGCACUGGCCAAGCCGUCCCAUGCCUCUGUCUGUGCUCUCCGCUGCCCUUCUUGCUGGGGACGCUGUAGGCGGGUAGCUGCUUUCUCCUGUACCGAAGGAGCUUUCGCAGCCUUUCCUCAGCUCUCCGCCUAAACCGCAGUGCCCGGCCUACUCUGCAGCGCAUGCAGAGCCCAAACCGCUCUACCCGUAGGAUCCCAACACUCGCAGCUCGGUGCAACCGAGAGUGACGCCGGCGCAGGGCGCAGCCCCAGGGCGGAGCUGGCGGCGGCGGAGGGGAAGAAGCGCCGAGUGCCGAGCUGAGCAGGGACUGGCAGUGCAGCGCGGAGCGGGCGGCGGAGCGGCGGGAUGCGGCAGUGCCGGGCCGCGGGGCUGGCCGCAGUGCUCCUGGCAUUCGCUGCGUGCAGAGCCCUGGUGCAGCAGGAGCCUUCGGUAGAGACCAGAGAGGGCACCGGCAUCAACAUCACCUGCUCACACCCCACCGUACAAGCCGUCCACUGGUAUCGACAGCUCCCGGGCCGAGGCCCCGCAAUCCUCGUCAGCGCUGUUACAGGCUCCAAGGAGGUUCCGGACCCGAUGGGGCGGCUGUCGGUGUCGGCAGACCGCCGCUCCAGCGCCCUGUGGCUCACCCGACCACGGCUCGGGGACGUGGCGGUGUAUUACUGCGCCGUGGACCCACGGGAAGCUAAGCUGGGGCUGCGGCCGGGCACGAACCGCAUUGGGCGUGGCGGGGGCACAGUGCCGUCCAUGCCCGCAGGGGGCGAUGCAGCACCUCCGGCUGGAGCCUCCCGAGCUGACAUUGCUGACAUGGAACAUGUCCCCCGCACUGCUCAGCGUUCUCAGGUGUAAGGACUUCCAGCUUCGCACCUUCAUGAAUACGGCAUGUCGAGGUCGCAGACACACUCAAGCGGUCCCCACAGUGGCUAUUCUUUAAAACCACCAGAUGGUGCGACAGGAUUCAGGGCCUCUGCAGGUGAGGUGUAGAUUCAGUAGAAGCCACUGCAAGGUGCGCUGGUUGUGAGGUCUACUGGUUCAUGCUGGCUGUGGAUCAAGUCUCUUCUCAGUUCCAAGGGAAGUACAAUUAAAAGGGACAGUGAUAAUGCAUAGAGUAACCCCAAAAUAUAAGCAUAAGGGAGACAAGGAGGGAGACCAGUACUCCUCAGCACCUAACUGUUGCCGUUAGGGAGCCACUGCUGUUAGAUAAGAGGUGAGGGACUGAGCUUUGUGAGUGACAAGUGACAAGAUGAAAAGAAAGAUGAGGAAUGCUCUUGAGGGACUUGUGGGGCUAUUCAAACAUAUUAAGGAAUGUUUAGGGAAAUGUCAAAGGUGUCACAAAAAUGAUUUGAGGUAGGAAAAACUGGAUGCAUUGCAGAGGAAGGAGGACAAAAAUUUCCAAUCAGUACUCCUUCAGGGAUAAGCUCUGUGCCUGACGACCACAGCACAUUCUGUCUUCUUCUUCAUUCCUGGCCUACAAGUUCAGAUCUCCUUCCAGAACCACCUUGCCCAGGCCUCAAUACUUUUCUGCAGGAAAAAGGACAGCGAGCCCUCUCUCAAUCUGUUUUGUGUCCACUCAGUGUUGGCAGCCCAGAGCCUUCCCUGCAGAGCUGCUCACCUUUGCUUUCUUCUUCCAGAUGCCGUGGGACAGACCACUGUCACCCAGCAAGAAAGACAGGUCACAGUGGAGAAGAGAAAUACCUUCCAGACCACCUGCACAUACCAGAC
rnacentral:lncRNA from 1 species